AACUUUUGGCAAUGGAUCACUUGGUUCUGGCAUCGAUGAAGAACGCAGCGAAAUGCGAUAAGUAAUGCGAAUUGCAGAAUUCCAGUGAGUCAUCGAAUGUUUGAACGCACAUUGCGCCCUUUGGUAUUCCGAAGGGCAUGCCUGUUCGAGCGUCAUUAUCACCCCUCGGGCCCCGUGCUCGGUGUUGGACGGCCGGUUCGGUGACCGAACCCCUCCUAAAGACAAUGACGGCGGCCUGUGGUUCCCCCGGUACACUGAGCCUUUGGCACGUGCCGGACGAGGGCGCCCAGGACCCGGUCCUCUCCUCUCAGCAGGAAACUUCUCAAGGUUGACCUCGGAUCAGGUAGGAAUACGCGCUGAACUUAAGCAUAUCAAUAAGCGGAGGCU
rnacentral:misc_RNA from 1 species